rnacentral:rRNA from 1 species
CGUGCUAAUCUGCGAUAAGCGCCGGUAAGGUGAUAUGAACCGUUAUAACCGGCGAUUUCCGAAUGGGGAAACCCAGUGUGACUCGUCACACUAUCAUUAACUGAAUCCAUAGGUUAAUGAGGCGAACCGGGGGAACUGAAACAUCUAAGUACCCCGAGGAAAAGAAAUCAACCGAGAUUCCCCCAGUAGCGGCGAGCGAACGGGGAGGAGCCCAGAGCCUGAAUCAGCAUGUGUGUUAGUGGAAGCGUCUGGAAAGGCGCGCGAUACAGGGUGACAGCCCCGUACACAAAAGCGCAUGUGCUGUGAGCUCGAUGAGUAGGGCGGGACACGUGGUAUCCUGUCUGAAUAUGGGGGGACCAUCCUCCAAGGCUAAAUACUCCUGACUGACCGAUAGUGAACCAGUACCGUGAGGGAAAGGCGAAAAGAACCCCGGCGAGGGGAGUGAAAAAGAACCUGAAACCGUGUACGUACAAGCAGUGGGAGCNNGGGCGUUAAGUUGCAGGGUAUAGACCCGAAACCCGGUGAUCUAGCCAUGGGCAGGUUGAAGGUUGGGUAACACUAACUGGAGGACCGAACCGACUAAUGUUGAAAAAUUAGCGGAUGACCUGUGGCUGGGGGUGAAAGGCCAAUCAAACCGGGAGAUAGCUGGUUCUCCCCGAAAGCUAUUUAGGUAGCGCCUCGUGAAUUCAUCUCCGGGGGUAGAGCACUGUUUCGGCUAGGGGGCCAUCCCGGCUUACCAACCCGAUGCAAACUGCGAAUACCGGAGAAUGUUAUCACGGGAGACACACGGCGGGUGCUAACGUCCGUCGUGAAGAGGGAAACAACCCAGACCGCCAGCUAAGGUCCCAAAGUCAUGGUUAAGUGGGAAACGAUGUGGGAAGGCCCAGACAGCCAGGAUGUUGGCUUAGAAGCAGCCAUCAUUUAAAGAAAGCGUAAUAGCUCACUGGUCGAGUCGGCCUGCGCGGAAGAUGUAACGGGGCUAAACCAUGCACCGAAGCUGCGGCAGCGACGCUGAUGCGUUGUUGGGUAGGGGAGCGUUCUGUAAGCCUGCGAAGGUGGCCUGUGAGGGUUGCUGGAGGUAUCAGAAGUGCGAAUGCUGACAUAAGUAACGAUAAAGCGGGUGAAAAGCCCGCUCGCCGGAAGACCAAGGGUUCCUGUCCAACGUUAAUCGGGGCAGGGUGAGUCGACCCCUAAGGCGAGGCCGAAAGGCGUAGUCGAUGGGAAACGGGUUAAUAUUCCCGUACUUGGUGUUACUGCGAAGGGGGGACGGAGAAGGCUAUGUUGGCCGGGCGACGGUUGUCCCGGUUUAAGCGUGUAGGUGUGUGUUCCAGGUAAAUCCGGUUCACUUUAACACUGAGGCGUGAUGACGAGGCACUACGGUGCUGAAGCAACAAAUGCCCUGCUUCCAGGAAAAGCCUCUAAGCAUCAGGUAACAUCAAAUCGUACCCCAAACCGACACAGGUGGUCAGGUAGAGAAUACCAAGGCGCUUGAGAGAACUCGGGUGAAGGAACUAGGCAAAAUGGUGCCGUAACUUCGGGAGAAGGCACGCUGACACGUAGGUGAAGUGAUUUACUCAUGGAGCUGAAGUCAGUCGAAGAUACCAGCUGGCUGCAACUGUUUAUUAAAAACACAGCACUGUGCAAACACGAAAGUGGACGUAUACGGUGUGACGCCUGCCCGGUGCCGGAAGGUUAAUUGAUGGGGUCAGCGCAAGCGAAGCUCCUGAUCGAAGCCCCGGUAAACGGCGGCCGUAACUAUAACGGUCCUAAGGUAGCGAAAUUCCUUGUCGGGUAAGUUCCGACCUGCACGAAUGGCGUAAUGAUGGCCAGGCUGUCUCCACCCGAGACUCAGUGAAAUUGAACUCGCUGUGAAGAUGCAGUGUACCCGCGGCAAGACGGAAAGACCCCGUGAACCUUUACUAUAGCUUGACACUGAACAUUGAGCCUUGAUGUGUAGGAUAGGUGGGAGGCUUUGAAGUGUGGACGCCAGUCUGCAUGGAGCCGGCCUUGAAAUACCACCCUUUAAUGUUUGAUGUUCUAACGUGGACCCGUGAUCCGGGUUGCGGACAGUGUCUGGUGGGUAGUUUGACUGGGGCGGUCUCCUCCUAAAGAGUAACGGAGGAGCACGAAGGUUGGCUAAUCCUGGUCGGACAUCAGGAGGUUAGUGCAAUGGCAUAAGCCAGCUUGACUGCGAGCGUGACGGCGCGAGCAGGUGCGAAAGCAGGUCAUAGUGAUCCGGUGGUUCUGAAUGGAAGGGCCAUCGCUCAACGGAUAAAAGGUACUCCGGGGAUAACAGGCUGAUACCGCCCAAGAGUUCAUAUCGACGGCGGUGUUUGGCACCUCGAUGUCGGCUCAUCACAUCCUGGGGCUGAAGUAGGUCCCAAGGGUAUGGCUGUUCGCCAUUUAAAGUGGUACGCGAGCUGGGUUUAGAACGUCGUGAGACAGUUCGGUCCCUAUCUGCCGUGGGCGCUGGAGAACUGAGGGGGGCUGCUCCUAGUACGAGAGGACCGGAGUGGACGCAUCACUGGUGUUCGGGUUGUCAUGCCAAUGGCACUGCCCGGUAGCUAAAUGCGGAAGAGAUAAGUGCUGAAAGCAUCUAAGCACGAAACUUGCCCCGAGAUGAGUUCUCCCUGAGACUUAGAGUCUCCUGAAGGAACGUUGAAGACGACGACGUUGAUAGGCCGGGUGUGUAAGCGCAGCGAUGCGUUGAGCUAACCGGUACUAAUGAACCGUGAGGCUUAACCUUACAACGCCGAAG